rnacentral:rRNA from 1 species
CCUACGUGCGGCAGCAGUAGGGAAUAUUGCUCAAUGGGGGAAACCCUGAAGCAGCAAAGCCGCGUGGAGGAUGAAGGUUUUCGGAUUGUAAACUCCUUUUGUUAGAGAAGAUAAUGACGGUAUCUAACGAAUAAUCACCGGCUAACUCCGUGCCAGCAGCCGCGGUACUACGGAGGGUGCAAGCGUUACUCAGAAUCACUCGUCGUAAAGCGCGCGUAGGCGGGAUAGCAAGUCAGAUGUGAAAUCCUAUGGCUUAACCAUAGAACUGCAUUGGAAACUGUUAUUCUAGAGUAUGGGAGAGGUAGGUGGAAUGCUUGGUGUAGGGGUAAAAUGCGUAGAGAGCAAGAGGAAUACUCAUUGCGAAGGCGACCUGCUAGAACAUAACUGACGCUGAUGCGCGAAAGCGUGGGGAGCAAACAGGAUUAGAUACCCUAGUAGUC